rnacentral:sRNA from 1 species
CCCACGGCUUGCGCCGUGGGCUACUCUCUGUCGCCCCUCCGGGGCU